rnacentral:rRNA from 1 species
UACGAAGGGGGCUAGCGUUGCUCGGAAUCACUGGGCGUAAAGCGCACGUAGGCGGAUUGUUAAGUCAGGGGUGAAAUCCUGGAGCUCAACUCCAGAACUGCCUUUGAUACUGGCGAUCUCGAGUCCGGGAGAGGUGAGUGGAACUGCGAGUGUAGAGGUGAAAUUCGUAGAUAUUCGCAAGAACACCAGUGGCGAAGGCGGCUCACUGGCCCGAUACUGGACGCUGAGGUGCGAAAGCGUGGGGAGGCAAACAGGG